AGUGAACGCUGGCGGUAGGCCUAACACAUGCAAGUCGAACGGCAGCACAGUAAGAGCUUGCUCUUACGGGUGGCGAGUGGCGGACGGGUGAGGAAUACAUCGGAAUCUACUUUUUCGUGGGGGAUAACGUAGGGAAACUUACGCUAAUACCGCAUACGACCUACGGGUGAAAGCAGGGGAUCUUCGGACCUUGCGCGAUUGAAUGAGCCGAUGUCGGAUUAGCUAGUUGGCGGGGUAAAGGCCCACCAAGGCGACGAUCCGUAGCUGGUCUGAGAGGAUGAUCGGCCACACUGGAACUGAGCCACGGUCCAGACUCCUACGGGAGGCAGCAGUGGGGAAUAUUGGACAAUGGGCGCAAGCCUGAUCCAGCCAUACCGCGUGGGUGAAGAAGGCCUUCGGGUUGUAAAGCCCUUUUGUUGGGAAAGAAAAGCAGCAGGUUAAUACCACGCUGUUCUGACGGUACCCAAAGAAUAAGCACCGGCUAACUUCGUG
rnacentral:rRNA from 1 species